rnacentral:rRNA from 1 species
AUACGGUAGGGGGCAAGCGUUGUCCGGAUUUACUGGGUGUAAAGGGUGCUCAGGCGGGUUUGUAAGUCAGUGGUGAAAUCCCGGGGCUUAACUCCGGAACUGCCAUAGAAACUGCAAGCCUAGAGUACGGAAGAGGUUGAUGGAAUAUCUGGUGUAGCAGUGAAAUGCGUAGAUAUCAGAUAGAACACCAAUGGCGAAGGCAGUCAACUGGUCCGUUACUGACGACUAAAGCACGAAAGUGUGGGGAGC